ensembl:lncRNA
CCGCCCGGCCGCCUCCUCCGCCCUCCGCCCGCCGACAACCUGUGGGCCGAGCCGGCCGGCGCUGCAGAGCCCCUGGCGGUUUCCGCGGCCCCCCGCGCCGCCGCUCCGAGGCGCGGUGCGUGUCCCCGCGGCCUCUGGGCAUCCUUAGCUCCCGGCCUCAGCGUCCGAGUGCGUGCAGACGCGGAAAGCGGCCGAGCCUGCGGGCUCCUCCGGUUGUGAAAACUUGGCGGAGCCACUGCGCGCGCGGGGGCGGCGCUGGAGUCGUCGCGGACCGGGGUGGCCUGGGCGCACUGGCCUGUCCCCGGCGGGCAGGCGAGGCCCGGAGAGAACUUCGGGAGGCGCGGACCGCCCGGCCCCGUGCGCCCCUCUCUUCCCUCGGCCUCAGCGCUGCUCCGUCCUCAGCCCGGAGUGAGCAGAGAGCGGACCCCGCGGUGGCGCACGGCCAGGCUGCUUCCCGUGGCCUGGGAGCGGCUGAGCUACUCUGGGCCAAGCCGGCAAAACAGUGUGCCCUUCGCCGGCCUGCGGAGCCCGCGAGGACCCCGCAGGCCGAGUGCCGCCAGCUGGGACCCCCCCGGGCCGCUUUGAGGCCACUGGCUGAGACCCGGGCCCAGCGCCCCGCAGCGUCCGCCCUCGGCCCGCGGGGUUCUCCCUCACGCGGACCUGCCACGUGGCCUGGACGGAGGCCGUUCGGCCUGGGCAUCAGGAUGAAGCCUGGUCCUGGGUCUACACUGGGGCGGGCCCUGUCCCUGGUGAGCAGAGCCACAGCUCCCUGGUCUGCAGCUGUGAGGAUGCUCCAGGCCUAGGGACUCGGACAGCACCAGGAAGUCUCGCCUGGGAUUAGCGACAGUGUGACCCGCGAGAGUAAUUACUGCUUACCCGCUCCGAAAUUACCAGCUUCGGUUCUCUGACCUGCCCAGGGCUUCUUCCUGUCCACGCCCCUCCCUGCUGCCCCCCUCCCGUGCCAAGGCCAGGGCCCCGUGCCGGCUUUGGCAGAUUUCGGGUGGCCUUCAGUGAGCUGGCGCCGCCCGCUCUGGGAGUCCCCACCCUGCUUCCUCGCCAGGAACCCCAAGCAGGGCCCACUUCCCUCUUCUUUGCACCCCAAGGAACCCCAGCGCUGCCUGGACCUGGGACUGUCUCUCCAGCGUCCUGCUAAGCAAACACCAGUGUGGCAUUUCAAGGUGACAGGUAAACACAGGUGAGGUAAGCCCUGGAGGGUGGCCGGCCUGCGGGACAGGUGGAAUCUGCAUCCCAGACACCUCUCUGGUGUCAGGUUGCUACCUCCUGCUCCUACUCUGCAUCUGCCCACCCAUCUGCAGGGCCGCUGGUCCCGCCCAGCCGCUGUGAGGUGAAGAAGCUCUGGGGCCUGGACAGGGGUGGGGUGCGCUUUGUCCGGACUCCACGGUUCUUCCAGUGUCCCCGCCUCGGGGGCACAGGCUGAGGGUCCUGGACCCUGCACGAUGUCAGUAUGGUAACACAGGGCAGGCGGCCUGGGCACCAGCAAGGCUGCCAGCCAUCCCGCCCCCCCCAGAGCGGGCGAGGGCUGUGGAUUCUGCCUCACUCUCUGACUAGGACAGGGGCUGGGGUUACUCCCACUGCACCCCACCCCUGCAAGCUGGAGCUACAGGAGGGGGAGGGGGAGAGAGGGAGGGCCUUGCCUGCAAAUUGUCCCUGGAAGAGGGAAGGGGAGGGGGCGCAGGGCAGGGUGGGAGCCACAAACUUGACCCUGCGCCUCCAGGAGUUCCGAGGCGGCCCCUGCCACUCCCAUUGGGCGUCAGUUGGUCCAGCAGUUAAGCGGGGCCCAUAGCCCCAAGGCCCAUCUGGGAGAAGGGGCUCCGCAGGCCUCGGGUCUGCCUGAAUCCUUUUCCAGAGGGUCCCGGGCUGUCUCCAAGGGGACAAACAGGCUCACCGGCUUGCUUGGUCUCUGCUGGCCCAAGAGGACGAGCGGGUCCGGGCUCCCCAGCGAAGCGGAGGAAGACGUCGGGAGGGCGGGGGACCCGCGGGCCAGGCCCCUCCCCGACCCACCGCCUCCGAAGCCGCCUCCCUGAGCGGACCCUAGGGGUCGCUGCGAGGUGAGAUCUGAGCUCCGCCCUGCCAAGUCCUGCAGAGGGCCCUGACGCCGGCGGUGGAGGAGACCGGACUUCGGCUGGGGACCCGGUGCACCCGGUAGGAGCUGGGGUGUCACCCGCUGGGGACCGGGCCAUGGACAAGUACUGGGUGGUCGGUGGUGUCCAAGGAGACCCUCGCCGAGCGCAGACUGCAGCCCCACGCGUGGAACCGUCUGGGCACCCGGGCCCCUCGAGGCCUGGACCCGUGAGUGAGGCCCUCUGUGCUUGUGGCUGGAGUCGCCGGGAGCUCAGGGAGGCAACACCCAGCCCCCAGGCCCAGAGGCACAGAAUGAUCCCCAGGCGUCACAGUAGGACGGUCCCCAAGCCCUCAGAGUGGCCUGAGCUCCAGCGAGCGCGGUGGGGCCUGCAGGACCACAGUGUGGCUGUCCCGAGUGUCACAGGAAGCGCAUUACAUGCGUGUGCACACACGUAAAUAUUUUAUAAAUCUCCCCUUAAUUAACCAGAUCAUCUCCAUUACGCCUCCGACAGGAUCGGCAGCGACGGCGAGCAUUUUCAGGGUUUAUAAUUUGAUGUCACCAGACGGUUGCUCCGGGGCAGAGGCACAAUUGCCGUGCCAGCUGCGCUUGUAUUUAUUUGUUUUCUGCGGUGUUCCUGUAGGGCUCCAUUAUGCAGUUUUUAAUUAGUUUGUGUUUGUAUUUCACCCGUCCCAAAUCAAUGCCAUCCCGGAGCAAGGCGAUGUAAAUUCUUGCAGUACAGGUGUUGCAGCCUGCUCCGUACACCAGCGAACGCGUGUCUGACAAAUGAAAGCCGGGCUGCCAUGCAGCGGCUGUCAGCUCUCCCCAGCCAGAGUCGCAGAUCAAAGCCCUGGGUGAGAGGGUGGGGAGGCAGCCCUGAGCCGCCCAAGGGGAGCUGGGCGGGCGGAGCCUUGUGGGCGCUCGCUCUGCGUUUCCCUGGGGUCCUGGGAUCCUUUAGCUGUUGCUGCUCUGUGCUGCCCUUGAGGCCUGGAGGACAGGGCUCUGGAGGCCCGGCCCGGAGCAGGGCGUCCUGCCGUCACGGGGUCUCUCUAACUGAGGAGCAGUCACCAGCAUAGUCUUGCACAGCCAGCCCCUCGCUGAGUUUGCUGGCUUUUCUCUCUUGAAACGACUUCCUUGGAGAGCAUUCAAAUCUGGCCCUCUUGUCACAGGGGGAUUCUUGCAAAGCUUUCUUUCUUUCUUUUUUCUCUUUCUGUUUUCUUUUUUUCUUUCUUUCUUUUUUGGUUAGGAAUAAGAGCCUGUUCAUCUUUAACUAGGCCAAUAGAAAUUAUGAUUCAACAGCAGUGUAUAUUUAAUUAGGGUAAUCUCACUUGAAUUUAAUUACCUAAUGAAUUAUUUGUUUAAAAGGUACGACAUCUUGUUUGCCAAGUGCCAGGGAGGCAGGCCUCUGAUAAGGACUUCAGUGCUCAGGGCACUGCAGCGGGAAGCAGGCAAGCUGAGGGGCUAGGCUUGCGCUGGGACUGGUACAGCAGCCUAGCCCUAGCCAUGGGGGGUGUCAUUCCCAUCUGCAGCACAGAACCCUCUCCUGCUCUUGUGCACAGUGACAGCCUCGGACUCUCCGCUUACUGGGCUGCUUUGCUGGAGAAGUUAUUCCGUGCUGUUCUCAGUGGCAUUUUCCUCCUCCUCUGGCCAGAAGGGACGGUUAUCUGCUAGAGGGGUCACCUUCAGAUUAGCAUUAUGGUGAAGAGGCAAAGCGGGCAUGAAUCUCCAGUGCCCAGCACCCGAGUGCCCCUUCCCGGACCCUGACACAGCCACACCAGUGGCCGGAAGUCUUCCCAAGAAGCGUGAAACCCACGCCAUACGUUACAGCCCAGACUCGGCCCUUAACCUUUGGUUCUGCACGGGGGCCAGGUCCUUUCUUCUCAUUUCCCAAAACAAGAGCAGCCAGCGAGCCUCCCACCCUCUCAUCAGAAAGAAAGAGAAGGAGAACACCUCAGUCACCACAGCUGGACUUCCGCUGCUUUUUUCAUUAAUAUUUCAUUAACCAAAUAAUUUACUUUAAUUGCAGUUUGGGGCAUUAUUGUAACAUAAAUAUUAAAUAUUAUUAAUAUAGCAUCCAACCAAGUAGGAAUGGGCUUAUGAAAAAAUACAACACUUGAUAAGAUUAAUUUUAAAUUUCUUCUUAGAAUCCCUGAUUUGUAUCAUAGCUGUUUAUUUCUUUAAAUUGAUGCUCUAAUGACCAAUAGGGGUUAAAUUAUAAUAUAAUCAUAAUCACAUGCAGUGAUGGCCACAGUAGCAUCUUUCUUCCAAAGAACCAGAGCUGCGUAAACUUAUUUUUAAGCUUAUUUGUGAAUUUACAUCACAG